rnacentral:rRNA from 1 species
CGACAGGUUAUCCGAGUGAGUUCUACUAAAGGAACCUUUUGUCGGUCCUAGAAACACCGAUGAAUAAGGGGUGGGCAAGUUCUGGUGUCAGCCGCCGCGGUAAAACCAGCACCUCAAGUGGUCAGGAUGAUUAUUGGGCCUAAAGCAUCCGUAGCCGGCUCUGUAAGUUUUCGGUUAAAUCUGUACGCUCAACGUACAGGCUGCCGGGAAUACUGCAGAGCUAGGGAGUGGGAGAGGUAGACGGUACUCGGUAGGAAGGGGUAAAAUCCUUUGAUCUAUUGAUGACCACCUGUGGCGAAGGCGGUCUACCAGAACACGUCCGACGGUGAGGGAUGAAAGCUGGGGGAGCAAACCGGAUUAGAUACCCGGGUAGUCCCAGCUGUAAACUAUGCAAACUCAGUGAUGCAUUGGCUUGUGGCCAAUGCAGUGCUGCAGGGAAGCCGUUAAGUUUGCCGCCUGGGAAGUACGUACGCAAGUAUGAAACUUAAAGGAAUUGGCGGGGA